UACGGAGGGUGCGAGCGUUGUCCGGAAUCACUGGGCGUAAAGGGCGCGUAGGCGGCCUGAUAAGUAGGGGGGUGAAAUCCUGCGGCUUAACCGCAGGGCUGCCUUCUAAACUGUCGGGCUAGAGCACGGUAGAGGCAGAUGGAAUUCCCGGUGUAGCGGUGGAAUGCGUAGAGAUCGGGAAGAACAUCAGUGGCGAAGGCGGUCUGCUGGGCCGUUGCUGACGCUGAGGCGCGACAGCGUGGGGGAGGAAACGGGG
rnacentral:rRNA from 1 species